rnacentral:rRNA from 1 species
UACGUAGGGGGCAAGCGUUGUCCGGAAUCAUUGGGCGUAAAGCGCGUGUAGGCGGUUCGGUAAGUCUGCUGUGAAAGUCCAGGGCUCAACCCUGGGAUGCCGGUGGAUACUGUCGGGCUUGAGUACGGAAGAGGCGAGUGGAAUUCCUGGUGUAGCGGUGAAAUGCGCAGAUAUCAGGAAGAACACCCGUGGCGAAGGCGGCUCUCUGGGACGGUACUGACGCUGAGACGCGAAAGCGUGGGGAGCGAACAGG